rnacentral:lncRNA from 1 species
UCCUCCUCAACCACUGCACAUAACAAAGGGUUGAAAGCCAAUCCAAAUUUUUUGCUGAAGAGUCAGUGAGGCAACAUAGCAGAUUGAUGUCCUUUUGCCUCUGCUACCAGGACAUCUUGCAAAAGGAGACCAAAGGAAUGGAUGAAAAUAGAAUGAGCACUGGAUUCCUACAAACAUUGUACAUGGAGAUUCUGAAGUCCUAAACUUCAAGAGGGGAGGAUAUCUUGUGUGGGACUCCAACCAGGUGUGAAGUUCCUUGCCUUCCUAAUCACUGUUUUAAUUGAGAGCUAAACAUUUCUCUGAUGAGGCGAAGAAGUAUACUGCACUAAUGCCAUGGACAAUGGCAAUUUUUUUCAAACUAACUGUAUGGUUAAACUGUACUUGUUUUCAUUUGAUUGUAUGACCUUUAUGCGCUUAUUAAAAGAAACCUGAAG